GCCGGGAUGGCCGAGUGGAUCAACCGUAAGAGUUGAAAAGGGUCCAAAGGCGCAGGCCUUGAGAGCCUGUGGCCCUUCAGGGCCUCGAGGGUUCGAAUCCCUCUCCCGGCGCCA
rnacentral:tRNA from 1 species